AACGAACGCUGGCGGCAGGCUUAACACAUGCAAGUCGAACGCUCGUAGCAAUACGGGAGUGGCGGACGGGUGAGUAACGCGUGGGAACGUGCCCUGAGGUACGGAAUAACUGAGGGAAACUUCAGCUAAUACCGUAUGAGCCCCGAGAGGGGGAAAGAUUUAUCGCCUUGGGAGCGGCCCGCGUCGGAUUAGCUAGUUGGUGGGGUAACGGCCUACCAAGGCUUCGAUCCGUAGCUGGUCUGAGAGGACGAUCAGCCACACUGGGACUGAGACACGGCCCAGACUCCUACGGGAGGCAGCAGUGGGGAAUCUUGCGCAAUGGGGGCAACCCUGACGCAGCCAUGCCGCGUGCGGGAUGAAGGCCCUACGGGUUGUAAACCGCUUUUCCCCGGGAAGAAUAACCCCGAUGAGUCGGGGAUGCCGGUACCGGGGAAUAAGGAUCGGCUAACUCCGUG
rnacentral:rRNA from 1 species